rnacentral:tRNA from 1 species
UGCAGCUCAGUGGUAGAGCAUUUGCCUAACAUGCAAAAUGCCCUGGGUUCAAGUACAAGCAAGCAA